GGCGCCAUGGCCAAGUGGUAAGGCAGAGGACUGCAAAUCCUUUAUCCCCGGUUCGAUUCCGGGUGGCGCCUCCG
rnacentral:tRNA from 1 species